UACAGAGGUCUCAAGCGUUGUUCGGAUUUACUGGGCGUAAAGGGCGGGUAGGCGGCCACCGCAAGUCAGUUGUGAAAUCUCCGGGCUUAACCCGGAAAGGUCAACUGAUACUGCGGGGCUAGAGUGCAGAAGGGGCAACUGGAAUUCUCGGUGUAGCGGUGAAAUGCGUAGAUAUCGAGAGGAACACCUGCGGCGAAGGCGGGUUGCUGGGCUGACACUGACGCUGAACUGCGAAAGCUAGGGGAGCGAACGGG
rnacentral:rRNA from 1 species